GCAUAUCAAUAAGCGGAGGAAAAGAAACUAACAAGGAUUCCCCUAGUAACUGCGAGUGAAGCGGGAAAAGCUCAAAUUUAAAAUCUGGCGGUCUCUGGCCGUCCGAGUUGUAGUCUGGAGAAGCGUUUUCCGCGUUGGACCGUGUACAAGUUUCCUGGAACGGAGCGUCAUAGAGGGUGAGAAUCCCGUCUUUGACACGGAUCCCAAUGCUUUGUGAUGCGCUCUCAAAGAGUCGAGUUGUUUGGGAAUGCAGCUCAAAAUGGGUGGUGAAUUCCAUCUAAAGCUAAAUAUUGGCGAGAGACCGAUAGCGAACAAGUACCGUGAGGGAAAGAUGAAAAGCACUUUGGAAAGAGAGUUAAACAGUACGUGAAAUUGUUGAAAGGGAAACGC
rnacentral:rRNA from 1 species